rnacentral:rRNA from 1 species
GUGGGGAAUAUUGGACAAUGGGCGAAAGCCUGAUCCAGCCAUGCCGCGUGUGUGAAGAAGGUCUUCGGAUUGUAAAGCACUUUAAGUUGGGAGGAAGGGCAGUAAGUUAAUACCUUGCUGUUUUGACGUUACCAACAGAAUAAGCACCGGCUAACUUCGUGCCAGCAGCCGCGGUAAUACGAAGGGUGCAAGCGUUAAUCGGAAUUACUGGGCGUAAAGCGCGCGUAGGUGGUUCAGCAAGUUGGAGGUGAAAUCCCCGGGCUCAACCUGGGAACUGCCUCCAAAACUGCAUGACUAGAGUACGGUAGAGGGUAGUGGAAUUUCCUGUGUAGCGGUGAAAUGCGUAGAUAUAGGAAGGAACACCAGUGGCGAAGGCGACUACCUGGACUGAUACUGACACUGAGGUGCGAAAGCGUGGGGAGCAAACAGGAUUAGAAACCCGAGUAGUCC